rnacentral:misc_RNA from 1 species
UCCGAGUUGACCCCGGCAGUCUCCUAUGAGUCCCCGGCCGAACCGCUGGCAACAUAGAACGAGGGUUGCGCUCGUUGCGGGACUUAACCCAACAUCUCACGACACGAGCUGACGACAACCAUGCACCACCUGUACACCGCCCUUGCGGACCCCGUAUCUCUACGAGUUUUCGAUGUAUGUCAAGCCUUGGUAAGGUUCUUCGCGUUGCGUCGAAUUAAGCCACAUGCUCCGCCGCUUGUGCGGGCCCCCGUCAAUUCCUUUGAGUUUUAGCCUUGCGGCCGUACUCCCCAGGCGGGGCGCUUAAUGCGUUAGCUGCGGCACCGAGGAGACCCCCGACACCUAGUGAUCAUCGUUUACGGCGUGGACUAC